AGCUCAGCUGCUCACAAUGAGGCUCCCUGCUCAGCUCCUGGGGCUGCUGCUGCUCUGUCUCCCUGGAACCACAGGAGAUGUUGUACUGACCCAGACCCCACUCUCUCUGUCUGUCAGCCCUGGAGAGCCCGCCUCCAUCUCCUGCAGAUCCAGUCAGAGCCUGCUGUAUAGUGAUGGAAAAACCUACCUGAGCUGGGUUGUGCAAAAGCCAGGCCAGGCUCCACGGUGCAUGAUUUAUCAGGUUUCCAAAAGGGACUCUUGGGUUCCAGACAGGUUCAGCGGCAGUGGGUCAGGGACAGACUUCACACUCACUAUCAGCAGGGUGGAGGCUGAGGACGCUGGAGUGUACUACUGUUGGCAAGGUUUAUAUGCUCCUCGGACGUUCGGCGCGGGGACCAAGCUGGAAAUCAAACGGAGUGUACAAAAACCAACCGUCUCCAUUUUCCCCCCAUCAAUUGAGGAGGUGAAAUCUGGAAGCGCCUCGCUUGUGUGCUUCGUUAACAAAUUCUACCCAAAAGACAUCAGCGUCAAGUGGAAGGUGGAUGGCACUGACUACACACAAGACAUCCAGAACAGUUAUACGGAGCAGGACAGCAAGGACAGCACCUACAGCCUCAGCAGCACCCUAGCGCUGACCGCUGCGAAGUACAAUCAGCACAACCUGUACACCUGCGAGGUCACCCACUCUGGCCAGUCCGAAGUCAAGACCCUCAACAGGAAUGAGUGUUAGAGCCAGAACCCAACAGGCACUACUGCCUGCCCUGCCCCACCCCCUCCCCGGGGCCCACCCAGCCUUGAGCUUCCUCCUCAGAUGUCCCACCCCUUCCCAGUGAGACCUGCCCUGGCACUAUCCUCCGCCCCCCUCCACCACCACCCCUGUCCCCCUCGUUGGCUUUAAUUAUACUUGGGGGACACUAUGAAUAAAGUGAAUCUUUGCACCUGA